rnacentral:rRNA from 1 species
AUACGGAGGGGGCUAGCGUUGUUCGGAAUUACUGGGCGUAAAGCGUACGCAGGCUGACCAUUAAGUUAGAGGUGAAAUCCCGGGGCUCAACCCCGGAACUGCCUUUAAAACUGCUGGUCUGGAGUUAUGGAGAGGUAAGUGGAAUUCCUAGUGUAGAGGUGAAAUUCGUAGAUAUUAGGAGGAACACCAGAGGCGAAGGCGGCUUACUGGACAUAUACUGACGCUGAGGUACGAAAGUGUGCGGAGCGAACGGGAUUAGAUACCCCAGUAGUCC